GCUGGGUGCGGUGACGCACUCCCGUGAUCCCAGCAGCUCUGGAGGCUGAGGCAGGAGGAUGGCAAGUUCAAAGCCAGCCUCAGCAACCUAGGGAGGCCCUAAGCAACUCAACAAGACCCUGUCUCUA
rnacentral:sRNA from 1 species